UGGGUGGAUAGAUUAACCUGGCCGGUGGAUGUGUUUAGUCUACCAAUUCGCCAAUCAUGGUCAUGGAUUGGACGCUACAAAGAUAAUUUUUUGGAAACUUAUGUAAAACUAGUAAUUGUUGGUGUCAUGGACUUCAUAUGUAAAAAAAAAAAAAAAGAGAAUCUACAUACCCUGACCUCCUUUGAAUUGUGUCUUUAUACUAAAGCAUCGUCACUUUGAAAAAUUACAUAGUGACCUCCCCCCUGAGGUUUGAAGAUUAUCUUCCCAACCCUUGACACCACUUUUCCCUCUUUUAUGCUUAUAAAUUAACAAUGCCCCCACUCUCUCUCUCUCUCUCCAUCCUUUUUUCUCUCCCCCUCUCUCUCUCUCUUUUUUUACAAAAGACCUUUUCUUUUUUAUUUUUUUUAAACUUUUUUAUUAUUUUUUUAAUACUUUUUGAUUAAUUUUUUAACAAAAAUGAAUUUCUUUUUUUCUAUUUUUUAUUAUUUUUUUUCUUUUUGUACUCUUCUAUUUUUUUUUAUUUUACUUUUUAUUAUGUUUUUUCUUUUAAUACCAUUUGAAUUAUUUUUUUAACAAAAAGAAUCCCCUUUUGUUAGUUUUUUUUAUUUUUUUUUGUCUCUUCAUUUUUUUUUUACUUUUUAUUGUUAUUUUUCUUUUAAAACCCUUUUGAUUUAUUUUUUUUAAAAAUGAAUCCCCUUUUUCUUAUUUUUUUUCUAUUUUUUUUUUUUUUUCCUUUUUGUACUCUUCAUUUUUUAUUUUACUUUAUUGUUAUUUUUUUUCUUUUAAAACCCUUUGAUUAUUUUUUUUAAAAAAGAAUCCCUUUUUCUUAUUUUUUUCUAUUUUUUCCUUUUUGUACUCUUCUAUUUUUUAAUUUUUUAACUUUUUAUUAUUAUUUUUUAUUAAUAUACCCUUGGGAUUAAUAUUUGUAAUAAAAAAUAAAUCCCCUUUUUUAUUUUUUAUUUUUUAUUUGUUUUUGUACUCUUCUAUUUUUUAUUUUUUAUUUUUUUAUUAUUUUUUUUUAAUACCCUUUGAUUAUUUUUUUUUAACAAAAAUGAAUCACUUUUGUUAAUUUUUUCUUAUUUUUUUUUUCUUUUUUGUAACCCUUUAAAAGUAAUAGAAGAGUAAAAAUAAUAAAAUAACAAUAAACAUAAAAAUAAAAAUAGAAGCGUACAAAAAGGAAAAAAUUAAAAAAAAUAACAAAAAAAAUUAAGGUUUUUAUUAAAAAAAUUAAUCAAAGGUAUUAAAAAAAAAUCACAUAAAUAAAUAAUAAAAGAGUACAAACAAAAAAUAAAAAAUAACAAAAAGGGAAUUCAUUUUUUAUUAAAAAUAUUAUCAAGGUAUUAAUAAAAAAUUAUAAUAAAAAAGUUCAAAAUAAAAAAUAGAGAGUAUAAAAGAAAAAAAAUAACAAAAAGGAAUUUCCUGUUUAUUAAAAAUUAUCAAAGGGUUUAAAAAGAAAAAAUAACAUAAAAAGUAAAAAAUAAAAAAAAUAGAAGAGUACAAAACAUAAAAAAAUAACAAAAGGAAUUCAUUUUUGUUUAAAAAAAUUAAUUACUGGUAUAAAGAAAAAUAAUAAUCAAAAAGUAAAACAAAUAGAAGAAUACAAAAAAAAAUAACAAAAAGAAUUCAUUUUUUUGUUUAAAAAAAUUAUCAAAAAGUAUUAAAAAAAUAUAAUAAAAAGUAAAAAAAAUCAAAAUAAAAGGGGUAAUAACGAGAGAGAGAGGGGGAGAGAGAGAAUGGAUGAGAGAGAUAGAGUGGGGGGACAUUUUUGGUAAGUUUUUUUGUAAGAAAAAAAGGGAGAAAAGUGGUGUCAGGGGUUAAGAAGAUAAUUUUACAAAUUUCAGGGGAAGUCAUUGUAAUUUUUCAAACAUCAGGGGUGUUUUGUGUAUUAAAGGCAAACCUCAGAGGAGGUCAGUGUAAUUCUCCAAAAAAAAAUUCAUACUUAUUAGACUUUUACAAUCUAAAAAAUAAAUAAAAUAUAAACGUCAGAUAAAAAACACAUUACAUACAUAUACAAAGAAAUACAUUGCUACAAAAUAGAAAACGUUUUGCUAGUUUGGGAGAAAUAAGGGAGAAAGAAAGAAGUGUUUUAAUUUUUUUGUGUGAAUUCUAUUAAAAAAUGAUUUAAUGAGUAAAAAAUAUACUCAAUUUAAAAUUUUUUUAUCCAUUAAAUAAAAAUUUAUGUGUAUUCCACACAUUUGAGAAUAAUAGAUUUCAACCAUUAGAUUAAUUCAAAUGAAUUUCAAUAGUGAAAAAUAGUUUUAAGAUUUAAAAUGAGCUGUAAUUUAUAUUAUAAAUGGUUAGUCCACGUGAGAUCCGUUUUUUUCAUGUCCAUCACUUAAUAAUUGAGGGGGUGACGCAAGCGAAAUGCGUGUCAUUUAUAACUGGGUAAAUUUCAACAAUGGUCCUGUACUUUGACCAAAGUUUCGCCUAUCCUUAUAAUUUUGAUUUUUCAACAAUGGUCCUGUACUUUGACCAAAGUUUCGCCUAUCCUUAUAAUUUU
rnacentral:lncRNA from 1 species